UAUGUGAUCGUCUCUCGCAUAUCAAUAAGCGGAGGAAAAGAAACUAACAAGGAUUCCCCUAGUAACGGCGAGUGAAGCGGGAAGAGCUCAAAUUUGAAAUCUUAAAGGGUUUCCCUUUACGAAUUGUAGUUUAAAGAAGUGUUUUCUGUUGAGGUUUUGGUAAAAGUUCUUUGGAAUAGGACAUCAUAGAGGGUGAGAAUCCCGUAUUUGACCUUUACUUUCAACUUUGUGAUACACUUUCAAAGAGUCGGAUUGUUUGGGAAUGCAGUCCAAAAUGGGUGGUAAAUUUCAUCUAAAGCUAAAUAUUGGCGAGAGACCGAUAGCGAACAAGUACCGUGAGGGAAAGAUGAAAAGAACUUUGAAAAGAGAGUUAAACAGUACGUGAAAUUGUUAAAAGGGAAGCGUUUGACACCAGUGUUGUUUUUCUGAAAAUCAAUUAAAGAACUGUUUAUGCUAAGUUGUUUAGACUUUAUCAGCUAACUGUUUAGUUUUGAGCUUUUCUUUAAUGCACUUUUCAGUUAACAAGUCAACAUCAAUUUCUUUUGCUGUAAAAAAGCUUGAGGAAGGUGGCUUGAGAUUCGUCUUAAGUGUUUAUAGCCUCUUGCCUAUGCAGUCGGAGAGAUUGAGGUCUGCAGCGUAGAUCCUUCGGGGCUAAAUGCAUUUGUGCUAAGUUAUAGCAUUUUAUAGACAACUUGUUGACUAUGAUUUGUCUUGUAGCUUACUCGCUUAUGUUAUUUUACCUACGCUUAGGAUGUUGACACACGCGCGUGCUCG
rnacentral:rRNA from 1 species